rnacentral:rRNA from 1 species
AAUCAACGCUGGCGGCGUGCCUCAGACAUGCAAGUCGAACGCGAAAGCUCCCUUCGGGGAGCAAGUAGAGUGGCGCACGGGUGAGUAACACGUAGGUAAUUUGCCUUCGGGUGGGGAAUAACAGUCGGAAACGACUGCUAAUACCGCAUAAUGCAGCGGCUCGACAUCGAGACAGUUGUUAAAGCGGGGGAUCCUUCGGGACCUCGCGCCUGAAGAGAAGCCUGCGGCAGAUUAGCUAGUUGGUGAGGUAAUGGCCACCAAGGCUACGAUCUGUAACCGGCCUGAGAGGGCGGUCGGUCACAC